UGGGAGCUACCGUGGUUCUUUGCUCCUACUCAAGAGUGGCAGUAUUGAAAAUGACUUUUGCAAUAUUGCAUCAGUUGCUUUGGUAUUGUGCUCCAAAUAAGGCUAUUACAUGAUGCAGAAAAACUUUGGAAUAUUGGGCUUCGGGAUGACAUUUCAGGAUGGACCUAAACGCAGUGUAUCCUCUACAAGGGAUGGGCAGCACAGUGACAUCACAGUCCAGACCACCUGGGUUCAAAUCCAGCCUCACCAAUGUGAAGUUUACAUGCUGUUCCUGUACCUCGCAAACAUACUGUACCUGUUCCUGCCUCUCCAACCAUCGGUCUACCAUUGGGUGAUUGGCACUGAGGGAUGAGCGUGCAGUCUCCCUCUGAAACUCUCUCUGAUUGGCCCAUGUUCCAGCGUCCCUGGGCAGGCUGCGGCUAUUGGUGGCCGAGGCAUGGCGCGCUUUUAAGAAGCCGGCCGUGGUGGACCAUCGGGUUGGGUUCUUUCGCGACGGAGGUUCUUCCCCUUGGGCCCGCGAAUCAACGCCACCACCACUGAAUGGCCCAUUGAGACACA